rnacentral:rRNA from 1 species
GGAUUAGUGCGCCGGUCGUGCCUUCGGUAUGUACUGGUGUUACUGGUUCCUACCUUCUGACGAACCGUCAUGUCAUUAAUUUGGUGUGGCGGGGAAUCAGGACUGUUACUUUGAAAAAAUUAGAGUGUUUAAAGCAGGCUCGCGCUUGAAUACUUCAGCAUGGGAUAAUGGAACAGGACU